rnacentral:piRNA from 1 species
AUGUUUGUUACUGCAGGCUCUUGA